UUUUUUUUGCUGGAGAUCUCUCCGAUGUGGAGUCUUUCUACAAGCCUAGAUCUUCAGAGACAGAUUGCAGAUUGUGUGCAUGCUAACUGUACAGUUAGUAAUGUGAAAUGGUCAGACAGAUCUUUUUUCUGAGCUACGAUGUGGACCAAAGAAGAAAAGACAAGAAUAGAGGUUCAUUAGUAUAAUAUUAUUAUUUCAUCAGCUAUAGCAGGUGUGACAAAGACUUUGUUCACUGUUACAAGAAUCAACCACUACAGGAGAGGUUUUGAUGGCACAUCACUCUUGUGCAAUGUUGGUAAAUUUGAGAUCUUCAGGGCUCCUUUUAUACAGGACUGUAGAAAUCAGAAAGAUCAACAAAAUGGAAAAGUGAUACAAACGAUGUAACAACAAAGGGACUAAUGCAAUAGAAAGGUAAGGAAAGGAAAAAAGGACUGCUCACCUGUCACCGAAGAUCUAGGCUCACAGGGGAAAACUCCACAAAAGGGAUCUCCAGAAAGGAAUCCUUCCAAAGUGGCAGUCAGCCCUUAAAUGAGGUCUUAACUUGCCUUCACCUGUGCUCCCAGGACUGACCAAGUCCUUUCCCCAGGCGCUCUAUCAGUGGUUCAGGCCGCGAUUCAACAAUUACUAUACAGGGACACUUGCCAGUUAACCUGCCUUUCUAUAGUAUCAAAGACCUUUUUUUCCCCCAUUUUUGCCAUCACGCUUAGUUACAAGACUGAAGUCAGGAACUGCCACAGGUAUUCUAUUUGUGGCUAAUUUAAGGCUUUGGAUAACCAUGUAUCUCAAAGAUAUAUGGUUGUAAUAUAUAAUUACAACUAAACUAUGUACAUCACUCAAAGAAAGUUAGUUAUCCAAUGAAUUAGAUACAUAUAUAUUUUAUAAAUGCCUACAUAUAUAUUUGCAUAUAUUUAACUAAUAAAUAUGUCUCUGCAUGUCAGAAUUGUAUAUCUCUGAGGGAACAGAUUUGUGUAUGCGUCUAUUUGUUGGUGGGCUACUGAAGUCAUUGCCAAGUUCUCAAAGUCACUGUAACAACAGAGUUAACCUUGUGAUUCAUUUAUUUGGUACUCCAAGCAUGUAGAUAUUGCUCUGAGAGACAUCUUUUAAAACGUAUUUUAAAAAGCAUAUAGUUAUGACCCACUUGUGUAACAGCGUUUCUUCUUUGCUAUUCAGAGUGGUUUAGAAGUGCUUUGGACUCCCUGGUCACUUCAUUAUCUGAAGUCUAAUAUCUUGCAGGCACCUUUUCUGGUAUGAAAUAUGUCCACUGAAAGAGUAGAUUAGAUAGAGUGAAAGGUUAUUUCAAGAUUAUGAAGUUUGAGUCCAAGUCUAGCAAAGAAGAAAUGUUAUUCAUUGCUUAGGGUUUUAAAUCAAGCCAUUUUCCUCCACAAAUUUCUUAGACAGAAAGAUACUGUAUUAUCUCACUUUCCUUAGGAUUAAAUGUUGACUCUUGAGAAAUCAGCUUCUAUUUGUUUAUUUAUCUACCUGUGAUUUUCAACUGAGCACACAAGCCAUUAAGAUGACAGCUAUUUUUAUAUUUACAAAUUGGAAUAAAUUAACAAUAAAC
ensembl:lncRNA